rnacentral:rRNA from 1 species
GACGAACGCUGGCGGCGUGCCUAAUACAUGCAAGUCGAGCGAAUCAAUAGGAGCUUGCCCCUGUUGGUUAGCGGCGGACGGGUGAGUAACACGUGGGCAACCUGCCUGUAAGACUGGGAUAACACCGGGAAACCGGUGCUAAUACCGGAUAAUCCUUUUCCUCUCAUGAGGAAAAGCUGAAAGUCGGUUUCGGCUGACACUUACAGAUGGGCCCGCGGCGCAUUAGCUAGUUGGUGAGGUAACGGCUCACCAAGGCGACGAUGCGUAGCCGACCUGAGAGGGUGAUCGGCCACACUGGGACUGAGACACGGCCCAGACUCCUACGGGAGGCAGCAGUAGGGAAUCUUCCACAAUGGACGAAAGUCUGAUGGAGCAACGCCACGUGAGCGAUGAAGGCCUUCGGGUCGUAAAGCUCUGUUGUUAGGGAAGAACAAGUACCGGAGUAACUGCCGGUACCUUGACGGUACCUAACCAGAAAGCCACGGCUAACUACGUGCCAGCCGCCGCCGUAAUAC